rnacentral:lncRNA from 1 species
UAUUAUCUAUUUAAUUUCAAAAUAUAUUUUCUUUUUAAGAUAACGGAUUUUAUUUUUCUAUUUAAUUUCAAAAAUUUAUUUCCUAACAGAUUUUAUUUUUCUAUUUAAUUUCAAAAGUAAUUUUUGCAUUAGAGAUUAUUAUUAAUUAUUUAUCAUUUAAAACAUAUUUUUCUUAAUAGCGUGAUUUAUUAUUUUAAAUUUUUUAUAUACAUAUUUGACAAUCAUAUAAAAUAUGGCCUAAAAUUAAAAAUAAUUUAAAAAAAUUAUAACUUUUUCUAAUAAUUAUUACGUGCAUUUGCACGUACAUUUUACUAGUAUAUAUAUAUAUAUAUAAUUAGACUGGAAUACUAUUAAUAGUAAAACCCUCUUUUUGCUAUCAAGUUUUUAACCAUUGGAUGAAAAAUUGUAGGGUUAGGAUGAUAUUAGUCAGUUAGAGUUGAGUGGUCCCCCUAGGGUUGAGUGGUUCCUACUGGAUUAUAGUAUUUAAUCCAAUGAUCAGAAAUGAUGAAAAGAGUUGAUCCAAAGGCUAAAAAACUGAUAGCAACAAUGGGAUUUUGCUACUAAUAGUAGCCCAGUCCAACUCUCUCUCUCUCUCUCUCUCUCUAUAUAUAUAUAUAUAUAUAUUUCAU